rnacentral:rRNA from 1 species
UACGUAGGGUCCGAGCGUUGUCCGGAAUUAUUGGGCGUAAAGGGCUCGUAGGCGGUCUGUUGCGUCGGGAGUGAAAUCUUACAGCUUAACUGUGAACUUGCUUUCGAUACGGGCAGACUUGAGGCAUUCAGGGGAGAACGGAAUUCCUGGUGUAGCAGUGAAAUGCGUAGAGAUCGUAAGGAAGACCAGUGGCGAAGGCGGGUCUCUGGACAGUUCCUGACACUGAGGCACGAAGGCCAGGGGAGCAAACGGG